rnacentral:rRNA from 1 species
AUUGAACGCUGGCGGCAUGCCUUACACAUGCAAAUCGAACGGUAACGGGCCUUCGGGUGCCGACGAGUCGCGAACGGGUGAGUAAUACAUCGGAACGUGCCCGAUCGUGGGGGAUAACGAGGCGAAAGCUUUGCUAAUACCGCAUACGAUCUACGGAUGAAAGCAGGGGACCGCAAGGCCUUGCGCGGACGGAGCGGCCGAUGGCAGAUUAGGUAGUUGGUGGGAUAAAAGCUUACCAAGCCGACGAUCUGUAGCUGGUCUGAGAGGAUGAUCAGCCACACUGGGACUGAGACACGGCCCAGACUCCUACGGGAGGCAGCAGUGGGGAAUUUUGGACAAUGGGCGCAAGCCUGAUCCAGCCAUGCCGCGUGCAGGAUGAAGGCCUUCGGGUUGUAAACUGAUUUUGUACGGAACGAAAAGCCUUCUUUUAAUACAGGAGGGUCAUGACGGUACCGUAAGAAUAAGCACCGGCUAACUACGUG